UACGGGGGAGCAAGCGUUGUUCGGAUUUACUGGGCGUAAAGGGCGCGUAGGCGGCCAGCGCAAGUCAGUUGUGAAAUCUCCGGGCUUAACUCGGAAAGGUCAACUGAUACUGCGCGGCUAGAGUGCAGAAGGGGCAACUGGAAUUCUCGGUGUAGCGGUGAAAUGCGUAGAUAUCGAGAGGAACACCUGCGGCGAAGGCGGGUUGCUGGGCUGACACUGACGCUGAGGCGCGAAAGCCAGGGGAGCGAACGGG
rnacentral:rRNA from 1 species